GAUGAACGCUGGCGGCGUGCUUAACACAUGCAAGUCGAACGGAAAGGCCCAAGCUUGCUUGGGUACUCGAGUGGCGAACGGGUGAGUAACACGUGGGUGAUCUGCCCUGCACUUCGGGAUAAGCCUGGGAAACUGGGUCUAAUACCGGAUAGGACCACUUCUUGGAUGUUGUGGUGGAAAGUUUUUUCGGUGUGGGAUGAGCUCGCGGCCUAUCAGCUUGUUGGUGGGGUAAUGGCCUACCAAGGCGUCGACGGGUAGCCGGCCUGAGAGGGUGUACGGCCACAGUGGGACUGAGAUACGGCCCAGACUCCUACGGGAGGCAGCAGUGGGGAAUAUUGCACAAUGGGCGCAAGCCUGAUGCAGCGACGCCGCGUGGGGGAUGACGGCCUUCGGGUUGGAAACUCCUUUCGCUAGGGACGAAGCGUUUUGUGACGGUACCUGGAGAAGAAGCACCGGCUAACUACGUG
rnacentral:rRNA from 1 species